rnacentral:rRNA from 1 species
UAAGCAAUGUAUGAACUGUGUGGCUCAACCAUACACCCAUACGUUGAACUGCUUUGACUAGAGAAUGGGAGAGGUCGCUAGAAUUCCUGGUGUAGGGGUGAAAUCCGUAGAUAUCAGGAGGAAUACCGAUGGCGUAGGCAGGCGACUGGCCCAUUUCUGACGCUCAGGCACGAAAGCAUGGGGAGCGAUCGGGAUUAGAUACCCCGGUAGUCCACGCCGUAAACUAUGGGUGCUA